UACGUAGGUGGCAAGCGUUGUCCGGAUUUAUUGGGCGUAAAGGGUGCGUAGGUGGCGCCGUAAGUCAGGUGUGAAAUUUCGGAGCUUAACUCCGAAACUGCAUUUGAUACUGCGGUGCUUGAGGACUGGAGAGGAGACUGGAAUUUACGGUGUAGCAGUGAAAUGCGUAGAGAUCGUAAGGAAGACCAGUGGCGAAGGCGGGUCUCUGGACAGUUCCUGACACUGAGGCACGAAGGCCAGGGGAGCAAACGGG
rnacentral:rRNA from 1 species